UUGUCAUUUUGCUAAGAUCAUUAUUACCAAGGAACGUCUUCCAACAUAAAGUGGUGACAAAGAGAUAAGAUAUACUUUCUAUUAAGACACGUGGGACACCAUUUCUUUACAUAGAAAUAAUCACCACCGUAUCCAACAUAUGUUUAUAUUUGUUGCAUUCCUUUUGUGCUAGGAUAUAAAUAUAUAUAUACACAUCUGAUAUAUUAGUUCUUAAACAUUAAGGUUCUCUAGAUAUCUAGCACCACCGUAUGUUGCUAUAUAUGUUUAUUAGUUGUGUAGAACCAUAGCAUCCAAGAAGAUUAACAUUUCCAUGUAUAGCUAAUAAAAGGGCACCAACCAUGGUAUUUUCAAGCCAUUGGUUCAACGUGAAAAUGGGGAAUUUGGCCUAGGGGAGAGUUGCUCCAAGACCAUGUAUAGUUAUCCUCCUCCGUCGACUUUACGUUUAUAACAUCGGUUUCCUCCGAAUCCUAGCAAAUCAGAGAAUUGUUUUUCAAAGAGAAGGUGGAAGAAAAGUAUUUCUUGGCAUAUAAGGUAACGACGUGACAUUAGGGGAGGGCAAGUGAACGAUAACAUAGCUAAACGACAAAGGUAUGUGAGGCUAGUCCUUUCUUUCUAAUGGCAUGAAUCCUAUAGCAUGAGUUCUUUUCCUCUUCAUGAGUUCCUAUUUUCCGGAAAGCUAGAAGCCUAAGUCCAUAAAUGUCUAUAUAAGAUAAGAGAUAUGAUAUGAUGAUGCCAUAUUGAUAAUGAUGCUAUUUAUUGCUUACACUCACCUUAUGUACUAAUUCCUUCAAGGUGAGGCAGAAUGUCAAUAAUUGCUCCAUAAUGAAAUCGGGGGAUCACGACCUUACGCCACCCCGAUAGAGUACAGUUGAUCUUGAGUCUUAUGCAUGUACUAUGAUAAGCAUAUUAUGAUAAGCAUAUUAUUACAAGUAUUUUUGAUGAGCAUGUCAUGAUCAUAUUACACCGCGCCUAGUUGGUCGGGCAGUCACCGCCAAGGCGGGCAGCUAUACGGAUACACCAUGACCUUUUGGCAUGGGCAGACACCACUAGUGGGCGGCAUGAGAUGGUACCCCGGACGCGGGAGGCCUGGACGCGGGCUAAUGUUAUUGAUUAUCACACCGUUCCGAUAUGGACGGGCAGCUUGCAUAUUAUGCAUAUAUGAGAUUAUGAUGAGUAUGAGUAAGAUAACAUGCAUUACUUUUUUUAUGAUUGUCAUUCAGAUUCAGAUGUUUCAUAUUGAUGUUCACAUUAUAUUAUCACUGUCUUUCUUCAUUGUUUAUGCCUCUCAUACUCAGUACAAUGUUCGUACUGACGUCCGUUUUCAUUGGACGUUGUGUUCAUGCCCACAGGUAGACAGGGAGGUGAGCUUGGUCCAGACCCUUAGUAGCUGUCAGCUGAUUGAGAGCACUCCAUUGUUCGGAGGUGCUUAUGAUUCUUCUUUUGGUAUAUAUGCAUAUUUUGGGCACGACGGAGUCUUGUUCCGUCUAUAUGUUUAGUAUGUCAGUAGAGGCUCGUAGAUACGCAGUGUAGGUCAGAUGGUCUCACAAGAUGUUAUUAUAUAUAUAUAUAUAUUAUUUUGAUGGCCGAGAGGCAAAUGUAUAUAAGUAUUUAUGUUUCUAUAUAAAAUAUGAUUUUCCUACAAUUAGUGUAUAAAAUUGGUAAAAGAGCAUUAAAUGAGUAAGAUGAGUAUUAGAGCGAGUGGUGCUCGGUGGCUAGCCCCGGGUACCCGUCACGGUCCCUAGCUGGGUCGUGAUAAUAAGUUGUUGUUCUGAAUUUGGGAGAAUAAAGUGUAUAAAUAUAUUGUAUACAAAGCGUAUACCGGGCUGUUUUGUGCCGAUAUUUGGGGCUGUUUUAUGUAAUUUUCGUGGCUGUUUUGUGGCAAUAUUUUGGGGCUGUUUUAUGUAAUUUUCGUGGCUAUUUUGUGACUAUAUUUUGGAGCUGUUUGGUAUAAUAUUUGUGGCUGUUUUGCGAUGAUAUUUUCGGGACUGUUUUAUGGUCUUUAUGGACUGUUUUGUGGGCUAGAAUAUCGGGGGAUUGGUUGUAGUUGUUGCUGUUAUAUUAUGGAUAUACGGAAAUAAAGAAGUGUAUACAAGCAUUGGCAUCCGAAUGUAUAUUGGGCUGUUUUGCGAGUAAUUUAAGAAUGGAUUUAAUUCUAGUUUGAUAUGAAAUUGUUGGUAUUGUUGUUGUUGGUAUUUUUAUUGAUGUUUGGCUAAGUUGGAAUUUCGAGGAUUGUUAAGUUUACAGGGGAAAUGCUGCCCGAAUUUUGUUAAGUUUCAUUCGUACUUGGAUUGGUUAGUUAGUGAUGCGGAUAAUCUAACUGUGCCUAUGUUAUCUUAAUUUUAGACCUGCGAGCUCGAGAAGUAGACGUUGGACAUUAGAUAGAGUUCAAGGUAGACAGGGAGGUGAGCUUGAUCCAGAUUCUUAGUAGCUGUCAGCUGAUUGAGAGCACUCCAUUGUUCGGAGGUGCUUAUGUUUAUUAUUUUGGUUCCUUUAUGCAUUUCGCGCACGACGGAGUCUUGUUCCAUCUAUAUGUAUAAUAUGUCAGUAGAGGCUCGUAGACGCGCAGUGUGGGUUAGAUGGUCUCACAAGAUUACUAUGUUAUAUUUGUAUAUGUUAUUUUGAUGGCCUAAGGGGCAUAUGUAUAUAAAAUCAUUUGUGUUGUCAAAUGAAAAAUGGUUGUCUUAUGAUUAUGAGAUUAUGAAU